rnacentral:rRNA from 1 species
UACGAAGGGGGCGAGCGUUGUUCGGAUUUACUGGGCGUAAAGGGCGCGCAGGCGGUCUUGAAAGUCAGGGCGUGAAAGCCCCGGGCUUAACCUGGGAAUUGCGCUUGAUACUCUGAGACUGGAGUACGGGAGAGGAGAGUGGAAUUCCCAGUGUAGAGGUGAAAUUCGUAGAUAUUGGGAAGAACACCAGUGGCGGAGGCGGCUCUCUGGACCGUAACUGACGCUGAGGCGCGAAAGCGUGGGGAGCGAACAGG